UACGUAGGGGGCAAGCGUUGUCCGGAAUCAUUGGGCGUAAAGAGCUCGUAGGCGGUUUGUCGCGUCUGCCGUGAAAGUCCGGGGCUCAACUCCGGAUCUGCGGUGGGUACGGGCAGACUAGAGUGAUGUAGGGGAGACUGGAAUUCCUGGUGUAGCGGUGAAAUGCGCAGAUAUCUGGAGGAACACCGGUGGCGAAGGCGGCAUUCUGGACUGUAACUGACACUGAGGAACGAAAGCCAGGGGAGCAAACGGG
rnacentral:rRNA from 1 species